rnacentral:rRNA from 1 species
GACGAACCGUGCGAACGUUGUUCGGAAUCACUGGGCUUAAAGGGCGCGUAGGCGGGCAGGCAAGUCAGGGGUGAAAGCCCACGGCUCAACCGUGGAAGUGCCUUUGAUAACUGCUUGUCUGGAGGGGGAUAGGGGCGUGCGGAACUUCCGGUGGAGCGGUGAAAUGCGUAGAUAUCGGAAGGAACACCGGUGGCGAAAGCGGCGCGCUGGAUCCCUACUGACGCUGAGGCGCGAAAGCCAGGGGAGCAAAGCGGG